CCACCGUUAGCACUGAGAAUAGAAGGGUUAAUUAGAGGUUUAUAUGGUCCAGUCAGAAAUCGUUUAUGGCUUUGAUCAAACAACGUUGGGUGAUACGAUUUAAACCGGUGGGCUUCGUGUACGAGUAUGUGACGCGUCAUCAAUCGUCAUACGGGCACAGUCGCAGGCUGCAUGCGUGGGAACGAACACAUUCCGGCAGCGCAUCACAAAUUCCCUAUUGCGCACUAAAUGCCCCCAGCCCCUUUGUUGCCAUGCGCUAGAAGAUCCCAGCCUUCUGUACGGCGUAACCCCCCCCCCCUGUUCCUUUUCUUCUUCUACAAUGGCGAGCGGAAGCUUAGGUGCGGGAACUGCUGCUCCACCCACAACUUUCCCAGUCUUUAUAGAUACCAAUCUCGAUACCCAUCUCGCCAUGGCCGUCUCAGCCGACGAUACCGUCGCCGAUCUCAAAAGGCAAGUAAUGAUAGAACACGCUCUUUGCUUUCCUGACAUUGGGGAGAUUGCUGUUUGUGCAGUGAAGGUAAGGCGCAGGUCAUGCUUCUAUCACCUAUCAGACGCUAUGCUUGUUAGAAGUGCGUUUGAUGGGAUUAAAGGAACUUGGUAUGUUCACAUGGACGCUGCUUCAACAUGCUUGACGAAAAACCAAGUGAGGUCCAGUGAAAACCCUUCAAGACUGGAGAGUGGAGGGCUGGAAAAGGAGCCUCAUGCAUUAGAGACUGGGGCCUGCAAGUUUCUGGAUAGUUUUGCAGGACGAACUCAGAGUUGUGUCCUGAAUGGCCCUUCAACUGCUGAAAAUCUUCUUCAACUUCAACCUGAUUCUGGCACUGCAUUGCCUGGUUAUUGUGAAAAGCCAGUGCCGUGUGAUCCUCCUCACAGAACAUCAGGAGUUCCUGAUGAUCCCAAAUGUGGAAGUAGCCACAUUGAGAACCAACAAGUUCUCACCAGCAGCCAGUUUGAUCCCAUUGACAAAGAGAUAGCAGCAGCCAAAAACUUAAACCUGGGAGCAGAAGAUUCACGUGCUGAAUUGUGUGUAUCCCCAUUUGAAAUUAUUGAAAGGUCAGAUUCUGAAAUGCUGAAAGUACACAAUCCAGUCAGUGAAAGAAACGGAGCCUUGGAAGCUCAUGUUCCAUUAAAAGAAAAUGUCAGAGAUUCGGAGCAGGGAGUUGGCAGGGACGAAGUGCCAUCGGCAUCUUUGGUUCCCAACAAGGGGGAAAAAUUCAAGAAAAGUAGGGAUUUGCAAAUUGAUAACAGCAUGGGAGAGACUUUGCAGCCUGUAUCUGUUCCAGAGAAAAAGAGGAAGAGGGGAAAGAAAAAGGAAGCUUUUCAGAGACCUGCUGAAAAUAAUUCAAGUAGUGAUGCUAGAGCUGGUGCACAUGGUCAAGAUGCGUCUGAAUUAGAAAAUGCUAACUUAAAGGAGUUAUCCAGUAAACCUCUGAAUGAUGACUGUUCAUCACCCCAGAAUCUUGUUGAAAUGAAAAGGAAGAAAAUAUCUUUGAAAUUUCAAAAUGGAGUAGAUUGUGAAGCUCCUGACAAAAAUGGAUUGUCUGCAGUGCCUCUCCUGGUAAGUGGGGCCGAUGAUGUGAUUACAUCAAAGGAUACUGUUGCUGGAACUGGUGUUGGUUCUCUUGUGGCGAUUGGUACAGAUGAUACUGUUGUUUGCAGUGUGGAAAUUGAGAAGGAUGCUCUGGGAGAAGCCUUUGGAGGGAAAAAAGGGAAGAAGCUGAAGAAGCACCACACUGUUACUGCUAUUCCACCUUUAGUUGAAGUACUAGAGAAUAUUACUUGGAAUAUGACACCUUCGCUACACGAGAAUGUUACUGUUGCUGAUGCUGCUAUUGGCAAUCAUCAGACUGCUGAACCUGAUAGUCACGCAUCUAGUGCACCUCAGUGUAUGAGUACAUCAAGCAAAACUGUUGGUAGAAUGGUGGACUCCGUCAUGGGUAUCAAUAUGGAUAAAUUUGACACAGGUAAGGCAGAAACUGAAAUGGGUGCAUCAGGGCAAGCAAAGGCAUACGGAGAGAAGAAAGCAAAGAAGUCAAGGAAACAUCGUGCAGUUAGUUCAGAAGGCCCGAACCCACCUUCAGUUGAAGGUCCUGAAAAUGUCACGGGGGAUACUACACCUCUGCAACUAUUGGCUGAAGUAAUCGUUAGUGACACAAAUAAUAUGACAGCUUUGCAACAUGAGAAUGUCACCCUUGCUGAUGACAAUAUCGGCAUCCAUCAAAAUGGUGAACCCAACCCUGCAUCAUCAACUGCUCCCCAAGAUAUUGGUAAAGCAGCUGCUGCUGAAACUGUGAUGGAGUCUCUCAUGGCCACCAAUCUGAAUGAAAUUGCGGGGACCGAGGCAGAGGCCAAGAUGGAUGCAUCAACACAAGUAGUCGCAUCUGGAGAUAAAAAAGCGAGGAAGCCGAGGAGGCGUCGUGGUGCUAGUUCAAGAAGCCUCAACCCACCUUCAGUUGAAGAACAUGGCAAUGCCACUGGGGAUACUAUGACUUCUAGGUAUGGGAAUUUCACCCUUGGUGAUGACAGUACUGGCAUUCAUCAGUUUGAUAGAACCGGAAAAGUGGUUAAUACCCUGUCAAAGAACGAAGAACUUAAAUUGACAACAUUAGACACAAGUAAUUCGAAGAAUGAAUCCUUGGGUAUGGAGAAAGCAGAAACAGGUAAAGAUAGGACUGGCACUUUGAAGUUGCUGGAGGCCUCCAAAAUUAUAGAAGCUGGGGAUAUCAAAGAUAGAAAAGGAAAGAAGUCAAAGAAAACUCAUAGUGCUGGUACAACGAGCCAUGUUGAAGAUGCCACUCCUUUGGAUUCUGAUAAAGAUUUUGAUAAUAAAGAACAUGGUGAUGUAACUAAGGAAGUGGCUAAUGGCUUGUCACAGGCGGAAAAGAGAGAAACACCGGAAACAGAAAUUUCAAAUAAUCAGUUGCCAUGCCUUGACAAGGAAGCAGAUAACGCGAGUAGAGAUGAGGUCACUCUGUUAAACACAGCUAGAGUCUCUGGAGUUGAAGAGACUACAGAGUUUAGAGAUGAGAAAGGAAGAAAGAAGUUGAAGAAAGCACCAGCUUCCACUGCAUUGGGCACAUCUGAACCGUUGAUGAAUCAGCAUGACAGUGGUUCUAUAGAUCCUGCACCUUCCAGCCACACGAACAAUGCCAUGGGUGACAUGCAAAAUCUUGAUAUCCAUCACACUGAUGAAAAUGAGAAAGAGGAGAAUGCUUUGCCUAGAAAAACGAAGAAAAUGAAGUCAGGAAAUAUAAAUUUAAAGGAUCCUUUAUCUGGAUCUACGUCACAAGGGAAGAAGGAUACUCGGACCAAGGUUGAUACUAUUGAUUGUAAUUUUGAGGGGAGGCAUCCCAAGGCCAAUGUGAGAGACAAAGUCUCUUGUGUAGAUAGCUCUAUGAAUGUAGCUAAUGAUAGUAGGGUCAACUUCAAAAGGUUCUUUGUGCCUGAAAAAGAGCAGCAACUGUCUGUUGACUCUGCUGAAGAUGUAGCAUCUAGGGAAGCUCCAAAGAAAUCACACAAAGAGAGAACUAAUAAGCCUACAAGAAAACCUAAUUCUCAAUCUCAAGAUGUGUUUUGUUCAGAGAGCCCCUCCAAUUCACGUGAUCGCCCCAAGCGUAGAAAGAAAACACAAGAUAGCAAUGCGGAUGCUGUUGAAAUUGAAGGACCCUUAUCAAAGGAUGAGCAGGGCAAACAUGCGCUGCAUGGUCAUGAUAAUUUUGUGGCUCCAAAGAGAAGCAAAUCCUCAAGGGCAAAGGUUAGCAAUGCUUCUGGAAACAAUACCUCCGUGCAUGUGUUUGCAGUUGAGGGUUUGAAAGAAAAUGAUGCAAACCAGGCCACAUCAGGUGGUAUUACUGAUUUAGGGGACACAAUUUAUGCUAGUAGAUUGGGUAGGCAUGUUGUGUCACCUUCCAACCGUUACCGUGUGGCAGUUAGAAAGGUCCCUAGUAAGAAAGUCGGGGAAGUAUUGGACAAUUCAGACGUAGAGAAGAGCUUGCUAGCUUCUUCAGACUCGAUAUUCAAGCAUAUUAGUAGUGAAAGUUCUCAAGAUGAUGGUGAAGUAAAUGAUUCUGAUGCAACCACCAUUAGUCAUUCGAAUGAUUCCUCUACAUCUGCUUAUACGGAUGGAGAACAGGAAGGAGCACACUCGAAACCUGCAUCACCAAAAAACCAGUUAAACAUGGAUUCACCAGGAACUGGUUUUGAAUGGGAGUGAAAGAGAUUUUGGGGAUGUCCCUCCCACAUACCAUGAAAAAAAAGAAGAAAUUGAGUUUGGGAUGAAAAAAGAAGGGAUCUUUAAUCGAAUUGAGAGAGACUUGUGGGAUGUUCUUGUCACAGAUCUCUUGACUCUAAUCUGAACAUCAAGAGAGGGUGGGUUCAGGCACUGAUAAAAGUGGAGAAGACGACAGAGAUGGGUGGCCGAGGCGGCAAUCAUUGUAGCAGGGAAAUUCAGGGAGCCGAUAGGUUCUGGAUUUGGCUAGAUGGCGGUGACACCAAUGGCUAUGAAGCAGCGGUGGUGGUGAUGACGGUUGGUGAAGUGGCUGUGAAUGGAUUCAGGGGUGUUGGUGACGAACAUCAGAUAUCGAUGAUAGAGCCACAAUGUGAACAAUGGCCAGAAUUGGCAGACAAAUGAACAGAGAAGAUGUAAUGGACUGGAUCUGCAGUCAGAGAUGCUUGAUCAAGGGCAUAGACGGAUGAUGGAUGGGGAAGAUGAAGGGCCCUAACUUGGGCCCUGAUAGAGGUGCGUUUUGGCUUCAUCAAUGGCCGGACCUGGGGAUGACGUUUCCGAAGAAGAGGAGAUCCGGUUGCAACAGACACUAAAUGGCUGGGUCUGAUGGUGGCAGCUGUUGAACAAAGUAGCAGGUCUGUCAAUGGCAGAUCUGAUGAUGUGUUUGGACGAUGACAGGGAAGAAGAUGGGCGUCAGGUUGCAACGUUGAUUCUGGCUGCAAAUCGGGGUGUAACAGGGCUGAUGCAAGGGCAGCGGUGGAUGUAGGUGACCAGCUGUGAUGCUGGAUGGGGAAAUAUGGGAUGCUGAAGCCGGAUGAAAAGAAGGUUGUGGGCGGCGGCAACGGUGAUAGAGUUCUGGUGUUGCCAACGACGGAGGAGAUGAAAGAGGGUUUUGGUGAUGAUGUUGCUGAAAUCAAUGGUGACGAGGGAAAAAGUACGAAGGAAAAGGAGAAGCAACCUUGUUGCCAGAUAUGACGAGUUUGCAGAAUGGAUUUCCGGACCAGGUGCAUCGUCUGCAUAUGGUGGAAUGAACAAGGAAGAUGGCUGCAAUGACAUUGAUUUGUCACAAUCCACAGGUACAAAAAGCAGGUCAAUUGGCAUGGUCUUGAGAAGUUCGAGUGCCUACAGAAAGGCGA